AGAAUGAACGCUGGCGGCGUGCUUAACACAUGCAAGUCGAACGGAAUACAAGGGAGCUUGCUCCUGAACUAUUUAGUGGCGAACGGGUGAGUAUCACGUGAGCAACCUGCCCCGAAGAUUGGGAUAACACCGGGAAACCGGUGCUAAUACCGAAUACCCCUCACACAUCGCAUGAUGAGUGAAGGAAAUGUUUUUUCGCUUCGGGAGGGGCUCGCGGUCCAUCAGCUUGUUGGCGGGGUAACGGCCCACCAAGGCUACGACGGAUAGCUGGUCUGAGAGGACGAUCAGCCACACUGGAACUGAGACACGGUCCAGACUCCUACGGGAGGCAGCAGUGGGGAAUCUUGCGCAAUGGACGAAAGUCUGACGCAGCAACGCCGCGUGAGGGACGAAGGCUUUCUGAGUUGUAAACCUCUUUCGACAGGAACGAUUGUGACGGUACCUGUAGAAGAAGCACCGGCCAACUAUGCGCCAGCAGCCGCGGUAA
rnacentral:rRNA from 1 species